rnacentral:rRNA from 1 species
AGGACGAACGCUGGCGGCGUGCUUAACACAUGCAAGUCGAGCGAGGCCCCUUCCUUCGGGAGGGGAGCCCUAGCGGCGAACGGGUGAGUAACACGUGGGCAAUCUGCCCCUAGCACUGGGAUAACUCCGGGAAACCGGGGCUAAUACCGGAUAUGACCUCUGAGGGCAUCCUCUGGAGGUGGAAAGGAUUCUGGCUAGGGAUGAGCCCGCGGCCUAUCAGCUAGUUGGUGGGGUAAUGGCCUACCAAGGCGACGACGGGUA